UGUGAAGCCUCACUUUACUGCAUCUUUUAUCGAUCUAACCAACCAUGUGCAUAUGUGUGAGAUGCGACUGCUGCAAAGCUAAAUGUAAUUGCAAGGCCGGAGAUGCCAAUUGCACCGACUUGAUCUUAGCCAUUGUCAUGCCUCCCAUUGGAGUUCUCAGAAAAAGAGGACCUAAGAGACAAUUCUGGCUGAGUGUUUGCUUGACAAUGGCACUAUUUCUGCCGGGAAGCAUCUAUGCUGUCACCGUAGUCAUAUCCAAGGAAAAUAAUGGAACAAAAUAAAUUGAGAUUUGCGUAUUUUAUAUUCAUCAAACUCAUAAUAUAAUUGUAAAGUGCUCUAUAAAUCUAAUACAUAAAUCAGUUUCAUUUAA